rnacentral:rRNA from 1 species
AGAGUUUGAUCCUGGCUCAGGAUGAACGCUAGCGGCAGGCCUAAUACAUGCAAGUCGAACGGUAAGGCCCUUUCGGGGGUACACGAGUGGCGGACGGGUGCGUAACGCGUAUGCAACAUACCUUCAAGCGGGGGAUAUGCCAGGGAAACUUGGUGCAACACCCCAUAGCAUUUCGGGACCGCAUGGUCUUGGGAUUAAAUAUUUAUAGCUUGGAGAUUGGCAUGCGUGACAUUAGCUAGUUGGCGGGGUAACGGCCCACCAAGGCGACGAUGUCUAGCUGGUCUGAGAGGAUGAUCAGCCACACUGGGACUGAGACACGGCCCAGACUCCUACGGGAGGCAGCAGUAGGGAAUAUUGGACAAUGGGGGGAACCCUGAUCCAGCCAUGCCGCGUGAGGGAAGAAGGUCCUCUGGAUUGUAAACCUCUUUUGGCGGGGGACAAACCUGCACUAUACGUGCAGCUGAGGGUACCCGCAGAAUAAGCACCGGCUAACUCCGUG